rnacentral:rRNA from 1 species
AGUGAACGCUGGCGGUAGGCCUAACACAUGCAAGUCGAACGGCAGCCCAUUAAGAGCUUGCUCUUACGGGUGGCGAGUGGCGGACGGGUGAGGAAUACAUCGGAAUCUACUUUUUCGUGGGGGAUAACGUAGGGAAACUUACGCUAAUACGGCAUACGACCUACGGGUGAAAGCAGGGGAUCUUCGUACCUUGCGCGAUUGAAUGAGCCGAUGUCGGAUUUGCUAGUUGGCGGGGUAAAGGCCCACCAAGGCGACGAUCCGUAGCUGGUCUGAGAGGAUGAUCAGCCACACUGGAACGGAGACACGGUCCAGACUCCUACGGGAGGCAGCAGUGGGGAAUAUUGGACAAUGGGCGCAAGCAUGAUCCAGCCAUACCGCGUGGGUGAAGAAGGCCUUCGGGUUGUAAAGCCCUUUUGUUGGGAAAGAAAAGCAGCAGGUUAAUACCCCGCUGUUCUGACGGUACCCAAAGAAUAAGCACCGGCUAACUUCGUG